rnacentral:ncRNA from 2 species
UACUUGGUUGAUCCUGCCAAGGAAGCACACUUAGGUCAUAGAUUAAGCCAUGCAAGUGUUAGUUCAGGUAACGAAACUGCGAAUAGCUCAUUAAUACGCUCAGAAUCUAUUUGGCGGCGACCAACAGGUCUUAAAUGGAUAGCAGCAGCAACUCUGGUGCUAAUACAUGCGAUUGUUUCUCCAGAUGUGAAUUAUGGAGGAAAAGUUGACCUCAUCAGAGGCACGCCAUUCGACUGAGUGACCUAUCAGCUUGUACUUAGGGUCUUUACCUAGGUAGGCUAUCACGGGUAACGGGCGGUUACCGUCGGACUGCCGGAGAAGGCGCCUGAGAGAUAGCGACUAUAUCCACGGGUAGCAGCAGGCGCGAAACUUUCCCACUCGAGACUUUCGGAGGAGGUAAUGACCAGUUCCAUUGGUGCCUUUUGGUACUGUGGAUAGGGGUACGGUUUUCCACCGUACCGAAACCUAGCAGAGGGCCAGUCUGGUGCCAGCAGCUGCGGUAAUUCCAGCUCUGCGAGUUUGCUCCCAUAUUGUUGCAGUUAAAACGCCCGUAGUCUGAAUUGGCCAGCAAUGGUCGUACGUAUUUUUACGUUCACUGUGAACAAAUCAGGACGCUUAGAGUAUGGCCACAUGAAUGACUCAGCGCAGUAUGAAGUCUUUGUUUUCUUCCGGAAAACAAGCUCAAUGAGAGCCAUCGGGGGUAGAUCUAUCUCAUGACGAGUGGUGGAAUACUUUGACUCAUGAGAGAGAAG